AUUGGGUUGGCCAAAAAGUUCGUUUGGGUUUUUCAUAACAUCUUAUGAAAAACCCGAAUGAACUCUUUGGCCAAUGCAAU
rnacentral:miRNA from 1 species